CUGCUAUACCAGUGGUCCCCAACCCCCGGGCCGCACAGAAAGAAAAAAUAAUUUUCAUCAUAUCAUUUUUUUUAUGUUUUAUUUUGAAAAGUAGCCGGAUUCUCUCUGUUACAUCCGUCUUACUUGACGCAUGUCCAUUGUGCGUUUGCUAACUUUAUCUCAUGCCGCACAGAUAGACUACUACUGUAUUUUUACCAUUUUUCUUUCACCUCAUAUUUGGUGUCAAAUGCUGAUACUAUGUGGGAAUGCAUAAAGAAAACUCCAGGUGAGCAGUGGAGAGAGGCAGUGGAGUACACAUGUAGGCAAGUUGAAGACGGAGCACAGGCUGGGCUCCAGAGCUGUGGGACCACCUCCAUUGAUCAUCACCAUCUUGUGGAUCUGUUCUGGAUACUCGUGGGCCAGGAAGGUAUAAGAGGUGCUGAGCUGGACCCAUGACCUGCAAGGUCCAGGGCAAUCACCUCAUAGCCCAGACGUGAGAAGAAGUCCAACUGGCUCUUCCAGAUGUCCAGAGAGCCUCCCACGCCGUGGAUGAAGAACAGAGCCACGUCCGGAUGCGUCUCUUUACAAGCUGUUAUUUUCCUCUCACAGUCGAUCACCACAGUACGCUUAGGCUUCCGCCUGCGUCGGUUCUGUGACGCUUCAGCCUGCAGAGCGGCAGGCGCAUCUCCUCCUGGUGCCGUCUCCGAUGUCAAAACUUUUCCUGCCGUGACCGAGUCCGGCCCGGCAUCAGGGACGUUAACGGGCGGUGACGACUUGCCGCAGCCUGUCAGUUCAACCUCUACGGUGCUGUUUGGCUCGGUCUCUCCAUUCUGGCAAGUUUUCAGCUCUGCGUCCGCCCUGUCGCCCAAGUUCUCGAUGAACAGCUGACCAUUACAGUAGACUGAGAUCCUUCUUUUGCAGCUGACACACCCGCCCUGCCCCGUGGGUUGCUCCACCAGAGACCUCUCGGGGAUUAUAUGUCGAACACGAAUGACCCGGCCUGGUUUCACCUCGACGAACUCGUAACCGUCGGUGGGUCCGGAGGGCUCGGCAGGAACCACGACGUUAGUUGACUUUGAGGUAAGGCAGCAGAGAAGACCUUCCAUAAAGCUGGUCAGCAUGGCUGCAUUCAAACACACAAGUACAAACAUGACUAAACAUGACGGAAGAGGGACACUUCAGGAAUACGACCUAAAGGAUCACUCACUGUCCCUAUAGGUUGUUAGGUUGAUCAUGCAAGAUGUCUAUUUGACCCACAGCUAUCCACAAGGCAAAUACAGUACAGGUCUUAUGAGUGUUGGAGGAACUUUGACUUAACUGAAGUUAGCUCAGCAAGUUUGGAAAAAAUUGUAUUCUUUAUUUUUUCAAGCUGCUGCGUCUCCCCUAAAAGUCCUCUGGCCCACCUCACGCUUAGAAAACCCCAGUGCUGAUCAGUGAAACACACUCCUAAUCAAAGUGUUAUGACCAUUUGAAAAAUUGUAUGAAUUUACAUUUUUCUUAAGGAGGCCGCACGGUGGCCUAGUGGUUAGCAUCUCUGUGUGGAGUUUGCAUGUUCUUCCCGGGCGUGCGUGGGUUUCCUCCGGGUACUCCGGUUUCCUCCCACAUUCCAAAAACAUGCAUGUUAGGUUAAUUGGCGACUCUAAAUUGUCCAUAGGUAUGAAUGUGAGUAUGAAUGGUUGUUUGUCUAUAUGUGCCCUGCGAUUGGCUGGCAACCAGUCCAGGGUGUACCCCGCCUCUCGCCCCAAGUCAGCCGGGAUAGGCUCCAGCAUACCCGCGACCCUAGUGAGGAUGAGCGGCAUGGAUUUUAAGGAGGUUCUAAAUAGAGCUUCACAAUGCAGAAAGAAGAAAUGGGAGUGAUCAAAAAAAAAAUUGAGUAAGCAAUUUAUUGCAACUAAGCAUGAAAGUGAAAUGGGCUGUUCAUCAGCUGAUCAAAAGUUUAAGACCACGGCCCUUAAAAGCUAAAAUCUUUUGGAUUUAAUGUCAUUUUCUGUCAGGUAUUCACACUGCCAUGAUCUCUUGAUGGCGAGGACAUAUUAUCUCUUUCAACGCGCUGCAGGUUGAACGCAGUCAUUUGAAACGUCUUAAAAGGUCCUGAGUGUUAUGGAACAAAAAAAGUCAAGUGGUAGACCCCAAAAAAUGUCUCCACUCUUCCCUGUUUUAAAUAAAGACAAACUACUAAACUAUUUUUUGACACCUUUUGCUAAAUUUAUCUUUUUUUAAAACCUUAUUAUGUAAUCUUUUUUUUAACAUUCUUUUCUAACUGUUGUCAUGUCAUGUGCCUUUUAUUCUUUUUAUUCUUUUACCUGUUUACAACUUUAUGUUAAGAACAUGGGAUUACAUGUGUGAAAUGCUAUCAAUAAAUCUGCCUUGCCAUAGGCUACUAAUUUGCUUGUAAUUUGGGGGAAAAAAAAAAAAAAAACAUUGGUUGUAUUGACGGCAAACUGGUGAAAACAUACAAAUGUACUGGGUUUGUUCAGUCACGUGCAGUCGGGUAGGCAUUAGCAGAGCAUCACCAGCCAUGAUGAAAAAAAAAACCGAAUAAUGAUAACAUAAAAAUAUAUAUAUUUGUCCAUUAAACUAUUUUCUAAAUUUAUUUUCAGUGUGAGUCCAAUCUUUUUUGAGUAAAAAUCGCUCAAUUUGUUCACUUCCUGAUCCCGAGGAUGCCACCAGCGCGCCUGCAUGCCUCCCGUCACACGGCACGCUGAUAGGAUCAUCCUGCCACUUUCAGUUUGUCAGCAUGUCGCCAAUAAUAUAACGUUGCAGAAGCAUUUACGAUACACCACGAGCCUAUACUUACACCACAAAGCCCGUGUAAUGUAUUUAAUGUCAGUGUGACAUCAGCAUUCAUGCUAAUCGGACUAUAAAAUACAUUAAAAUGUCAUACAGGAGGCACUUGCAGUACCGCAGCAUCCUGAAGGGGUCAGGCUUGCGUGAGCUGGAAGGUGCUUGUCUUGUCGCUGCCAUUCUUCCAUAGAGGAAAAGACAGCAGCAGCUCAAGCUAUCAGAAAGCCCAUUGCAUUCAAGAUAUUUUAUACUCUGCUGAAUGAAUGAAUCAGUUUGACUGCCAAGAUGGAGGAUUAUAAACCCAACUCACCAGGGGGCGAUAUCAGACUUUUGCAGCCAAGUAGGGGAAGGAUGUGCUGCAUGUACUUCAUGUACAGAUUAAAGGUAAGAAGACAAAUGAUUUCCACUUAAUAAAAAUAAAUAAAUGUGACUAAGAAGUCUUUGAAAACAAUUUGAUGACAUUUUUAAGCAAAUGUGAAUUAUUUUGGUCUUUUUUCUUGUUAUCCUCUUAAUGUUUGUAUUAACUUUUUUUUUUUUAACUCCAAAAGAGUCAGUGCCUCACCAGCCAUCAACCUCACCAUCACUGGGUACAUUGAGCUAACACAAAUAAAACACGGUGACUCAGAAAUGAUUAAAUAAAGUCAGUGUUUCUGUUAUUUCUUCACCAUUGCAACCAUUCCAAAUGAGAAAAACUCAGCUAUAAACAUCUAAAAACCCAUUGGCCUUCUCGCCGCCUCUAUCUCUGAUCUCAAUUACAAAGCCAUAGCUCUCAAAGCUCAGACAAUAAAAUGAUGUCAGACACACACAAGUCUUUUCUUUACUCUGCUUCCAUCAGCCUGCUUUGUCUCC